rnacentral:rRNA from 1 species
GACGAACGCUGGCGGCGUGCUUAACACAUGCAAGUCGAACGGAAAGGCCCUGCGUUUGUGGGUUUCUCGAUUGGCGAACGGGGGAGUAACACGUGAGUAACCUGCCCUUGACUUUGGGGUAACUUCAGGAAACUGGGGCGAUUACCCGAUAUGAUCUCCUGCUGCAUGUGGUGCGUUGGAAAGUGUCGGCGGUUGGGGAUAGACUCGCGGCUUAUGAGCUUGUUUGGGUGGUAGUGGCUUACCACGGCUUUGACGGGUAGCCGGCAUGAGCGGGUGGACGGCCACAAUGGGACUGCGAUACGGCCCAGAAUGCUACGGGAGGCAGCAGGCGGGAGCAUUGCACAAUGGGCGGAAGCCUGAUGCAGAAACGCCGCGUGCGGAAUGCCGGCCUUUGGGUUGUAAACCGCUUUCGACUGUGAUGAAGCGGGAGUGACGGUAAUGGGUAAAGAAGCACCGGCUAACUACGUG